rnacentral:rRNA from 1 species
AGCGGAGGAAAAGAAACCAACAGGGAUUGCCCUAGUAACGGCGAGUGAACAGGCAAGAGCUCAGAUUUGAAAGCCUCUCGGGGCAUUGUAUUCUGAAGCCUUGAUUCUGAGAAACGGUACCUAAGUCUUCUGGAAAGGAGCGCCAAGGAGGGUGAUAGCCCCGUACGGUACUGACCUCAUUGUAGAAUCUUGGCGUGGAGUCGAGUUGUUUGGGAAUGCAGCUCAAAUGGGUGGUAUGCUCCAUCUAAAGCUAAAUAUCUGCGAGAGACCGAUAGCGAACAAGUACUGUGAAGGAAAGAUGAAAAGAACUUUGAAAAGAGAGUGAAAAAGUACGUGAAAUUGUUGAAAUGGAAGGAUAGGCCGCUAACCACGUAGAGCCGUGUCUGAGGGGAGGAUAAAAGCUGUAGAAUGUGACUCUUCGGAGUGUUAUAGCUACAGUGCAUACUCCCACUCGGGCGCGAGGAC